GAGGGGGGGGUAAGGUAAAUCUGCAGUAGGAGGGUGCCAUUAACUGCUUCAUCUGUGGGAAAGACUGUGGUCUUGGAUGAACUGAGUUAACUGGCCAUGGGCAGCAUUGCAGGAAAUAAAGCUAGAAAGGCUUUCGUUUCGUUACCAAGAGUGCAGAUGAAUGAGCGUGAGAACUGUCUUGUUUAGACUGCCAAGCAUUCAUGACUGUGUUAGUAUUGCCUGUGCUGGUGUAUAUUUCUUCUUUGUGGGCGUUUUAGCAAGUUGCUCACACUGUUCAAUUUCUCACCCUUUUGGAGAAAUCAACAUUAGUCUGGCUUUAAAGCCCAAAACAUACCAUCUAAUGACAAGACUUCCUUAGAACAAAGCUUAGGAAUGAGCUACCUUUGGAUCACGUGGGUCUCAGUGCCAGGGAGUAAGCAGCUCCUGUGUCACUUAUAUCAAAACCUUCCACAGGAAUAAUGUGCUCUGGCUCCUCAUUGUGCGUGACACCCUUCUCAGAGAAGGAAAGGUCUGUUUUUCAGGUUCUUAUUCUGACUCCUGAGAGCCCAAGACGAAGAUGUAAUUGACUGACUUUAGAAGUCAGAAUUCCCAGAAAUUCAACUAACUGCUCUAGAAGGUUAAAAUGUGAAGUUUCUUGUUUGUUUUUUGCUUGUGCUGAAUAUUUUGAAUUUUCAUCUACCUCGUCUUAUUUUUCUUAGUUACUUCUGUCAUUACCACUUGAGCAUCAAGCUUGAUUUUGGUCAUUGUCUAAAAUGGGGUCUCUCCUGUUCAGUGACAGUUUAUUCCCUUGUCUUUCCUCUUGGCCCUCAUUUCACCUAACAUCAUCUCUUAUUGCUCCUGUCAGAAAUAUGUUUUAAAGUCUUGUUUUAUGGGAAAAAGUGGUCCACCAAUGCUGUUUGUCUCUGAGGUCAGUGAGAGAAGGAGUUAAAACACAGUGGUGGAGGAAGGGCAGAGCCUGCCUGCACUGGAGGCAAAAGCUGACAAGGAAGGAGUCAUUAAUUAAAGACAAUUUCAAAGUCAA
rnacentral:lncRNA from 1 species